rnacentral:SRP_RNA from 1 species
GCUGGGCGUGGUGGCUCAUGCCUGUAACCCCAUCUACUUUGGGGGCUGAGGCAGGAGCAUCACUUGAGCCUGGGAGAUGGAGGUUGCAGUGAGCCAAGAUUGCGCCACUGCACUCCAGCCUGGCGACAGAGUGAGAUUCUGUCUCAA